GGGAUGGACAUACCUCUGGUGUACCAGUUGUCGUGCCAACGGCAUAGCUGGGUAGCUAUGUAUGGACGGGAUAAGUGCUGAAAGCAUCUAAGCAUGAAGCCCCCCUCGAGAUGAGAUUUCCCAACUUCGGUUAUAAGAUCCCUCAAAGAUGAUGAGGUGAAUAGGUUCGAGGUGGAAGCGUAGCGAUACGUGGAGCUGACGAAUACUAAUCGAUCGAAGACUUAAUCAAU
rnacentral:rRNA from 1 species